AUUGAACGCUGGCGGUAGGCCUAACACAUGCAAGUCGAACGGCAGCACAGUAAGAUCUUUCUCUUACGGUUGGCGAGUGGCGGACGGGUGACAAAUACAUCGCCAUCUACUUUUUCUUGGGGGAUAACGUAGGGAAACUUCCGCUACUACCUCAUACGACCUACGGCUGAAAUCAAUGGAUCUUCGCCCCUUGCGCGAUUUAAUUAGCCGAUUUCGGAUUAGCUAGUUGGCGGGGUAAAGGCCCACCAAGGCGACGAUCCGUAGCUGGUCUGAGAGGAUGAUCAGCCACACUGGAACUGAGACACGGUCCAGACUCCUACGGGAGGCAGCAGUGGGGAAUAUUGGACAAUGGGCGCAAGCCUGAUCCAGCAAUACCGCGUGGGUGAAGAAGGCCUUCGGGUUGUAAAGCCCUUUUGUUGGGAAAGAAAAGCAGCAGGUUAAUACCCCGCUGUUUUGACGGUACCAAAAGAAUAAGCAACGGCUAACUUCGUG
rnacentral:rRNA from 1 species